CUGGCGGCGUGCUACACAUGCAAGUCGAACGAGAAAGGGGAGCAAUCCCUGAGUAAAGUGGCGACCGGGUGAGUAACACGUGACUAACCUGCCUUCGAGUGGGGGAUAACCUCGGGAAACCGGGGCUAAUACCGCAUAAUGCCUUCGGGUUAAAGAAGCAAUUCGCUUGAAGAGGGGGUCGCGGCUGAUUAGCUAGUUGGUGAGGUAACGGCUCACCAAGGCGAUGAUCGGUAGCCGGCCUGAGAGGGCGCACGGCCACACUGGAACUGAAACACGGUCCAGACUCCUACGGGAGGCAGCAGUGGGGAAUUUUGCGCAAUGGGGGAAACCCUGACGCAGCAACGCCGCGUGGAGGAUGAAGUCCCUUGGGACGUAAACUCCUUUCGACCGGGACGAUAAUGACGGUACCGGUGGAAGAAGCCCCGGCUAACUUCGUGCCAGCAGCCGCGGUAAUACGAGGGGGGCAAGCGUUGUUCGGAAUUAUUGGGCGUAAAGGGCGCGUAGGCGGUGCGGUAAGUCACCUGUGAAACCUCUGGGCUUAACUCAGAGCCUGCAGGCGAAACUGCCGUGCUC
rnacentral:rRNA from 1 species